AUUGAACGCUGGCGGAAUGCUUUACACAUGCAAGUCGAACGGCAGCACGGACUUCGGUCUGGUGGCGAGUGGCGAACGGGUGAGUAAUGUAUCGGAACGUGCCCAGUCGUGGGGGAUAACGUAGUGAAAAUUACGCUAAUACCGCAUACGAUCUAUGGAUGAAAGCGGGGGAUCGCAAGACCUCGCGCGAUUGGAGCGGCCGAUAUCAGAUUUGGUAGUUGGUGGGGUAAAGGCCCACCAAGCCAACGAUCUGUAGCUGGACUGAGAGGACGACCAGCAACACUGGAACUGAGGAACGGUCCAGACUCGUACGGGGGGCAGCAGUGGGGAAUUUUGGACAAUGGGCGAAAGCCUGAUCCAGCCAUUCCGCGUGCAGGAUGAAGGCCCUCGGGUUGUAAACUGCUUUUGUACAGAACGAAAAGGUUUCUACUAAUACUAGGAGCUCAUGACGGUACUGUAAGAAUAAGCACCGGCUAACUACGUGCCAGCCGCCGCAGUAA
rnacentral:rRNA from 1 species